GGCUUUGUGACUGAGUGGUUAAGUUAAACUCUAAUAAAGUUAUACGGUGGUUCGAAUCCAUCCUUGGCCU
rnacentral:tRNA from 1 species